GAUGAACGCUGGCGGCGUGCCUAAUACAUGCAAGUCGAGCGAACAGACGAGGAGCUUGCUCCUCUGACGUUAGCGGCGGACGGGUGAGUAACACGUGGAUAACCUACCUAUAAGACUGGGAUAACUUCGGGAAACCGGAGCUAAUACCGGAUAAUAUAUUGAACCGCAUGGUUCAAUAGUUAAAGACGGUUUUGCUGUCACUUAUAGAUUGAUCCGCGCCGCAUUAGCUAGUUGGUAAGGUAACAGCUUACCAAGGCAACGAUGCGUAGCCGACCUGAGAGGGUGAUCGGCAACACUGGAACUGAGACACGGUCCAGACUCCGACGGGAGGCAGCAGUAGGGAAUCUUCCGCAAGGGGCGAAAGCCUGACGGAGCAACGCCGCGUGAGUGAUGAAGGUCUUAGGAUCGUAAAACUCUGUUAUUAGGGAAGAACAAAUGUGUAAGUAACUAUGCACGUAUUGACGGUACCUAAUCAGAAAGCCACGGCUAACUACGUG
rnacentral:rRNA from 1 species